AUAAGAAGGGGAGCUGGACUGGUUAUUUUGAACCUCAUAAAUGCUAAAUACUCCUAUGGUUUAGACAGUGACAUGCACUUGGAUACAGGUCUUGGAGUCUAGGACAGCAUGUCUGCUGAAGUCUGGAGCAAAUAUUAUUGAUAUUUUUUUUCUUUACAGGUACUAGGAAACUAAGCAAGCACCGACAGCCCGAGCCCCAGAGGCUACUGUAGAUACCAUAAUAACCCUAAAGUUAUAAGGAGAGGUAACAGCACAAAAGAAGUCAUUGGGUGCAGGACAUGAGACAAGUACAACAAGCAGGAACAGUGAAACUUAAGGCACUGUGCAGCGACUGGAAUCAAAUGUAGCAGCAGGCAAUUAUAGUCUGUUAGACUAAUGUGGCCAAGACAAGAAGGAUGUGAAGUGUGUGAUCAACACAGAGGAUCAACACAACUGAUCCUCUCAAGGGCCUUCAAUAAUAAAGGAAAACGGGGAAGCUAAAUAGUAUGGGGAGGACUUGUUUGCUUUGUCACUGCUAUCCCGAGUUGUUUUUGCUAGUGCAGUGUAGCCUGCCUGGCAUCUGUUUGCCACCUUGGUGGAGUGUCAGUCUGCCUUAGGUCCUGCGUCAUACCAGCUAUUUCCAUGCAGAUGUCUUGGAUACCUUAGGGCCUCUCAAAUGGCACUGGGUAUUGAGCGUGGGCAGAGGAAUCCUGUCCUUUGCUGUGUGGAAAAACAUUGCUCUUGGAGGGCCACAACAGUAUGGUAAUGGCUGCAGCCAAGUGUGGCAGCAGUGACCAAGCUAGAGCAAUACUGAAAUAGGUAAGUCUGUGUAACAAUUAUCUUCAGCUCUGGCUUUUUAAGGCCAGCUGUGGGCCCAGCCCUGCAGCUUCCUGCUUUGGCCAAGAAUGAAUCACUUGUGGGGAGCUGUAAUUCCCAGAGCAGAUGGGAGCUGUCAGGUUCACAGUCAGAGAUGAUGGAAAGGGAUACAACGUGUAACAGCUCCCUCUGGGCAGGAGAGAUUGGGGGGAGACAGGUGGGUCUCUCCAGCCCAGGAGAGGGUAUCACAGAUAAAAAUGCUUUAGGAAGAUGCUUUAACAGGCAAUCAGGUGUCUAUGUAAAAUACCCAGAGGAGAAAGCAAUUAAAAGAACUGUAGUUGAUUCAAAAAAAAAAAAAAAAAAAAAAUAGACUUGAAGAAGACUGAGUCUGAGAAUGAACUUAAUCACCAAGGUGCCCUUGAAGUUUAUCAGACCACCUAGAGGUGCAAUAUCCUAGGCAAGCAAGAAGUUCUGAGAAAUACCCUUCAUCUAAUCUUUUUAUUAUUAUUAUUUUUCCCUACAUUAGAAAGAUUGAAGUGUUUUGGCUUGGUUGGAAAACUGAACUAGUUUGCCAGAGGGAAAGCGGAGGAAACUAGAACAUUUUCCCAAAGAGAAGAACCUGUACAUGCUUCAUGAACCAAAGACUUCCAUUGUGCCAGGUAGCUGUGAGAGGAGUUGCUGCAUGACAGAGAAUGUGAACGAUGCUAUGAAACUGCAACAGCAGCAAUAAUACAUGAGCUGUCUUUGAGCUCAUGUAACUUCAUGGAGAGGAUUGCUCGCGCUGUAGGAGGUGAGCACCAGGCUGCCUUCUUGCCUCACCUCCGAGUGCCCCUUUCCAGUAGGCAAGCACCUGUGGAGGCCAACGCCAGCUGCAAGUGCCUGGGCAGCAAGCAGUGAGAAUCAUUAUGAAUUUGGCCAGCUCCAUCAGGAAAGGCAUCAAAUAGAUCUUGUCUGUUCCUGAUUGUGAUGAGCCUGAGGAUGAAAUAAAGCUGCACUGAAGCAUUUCAAUAUCCUAUUUCGCUAC
ensembl:lncRNA